UUUUUUUUUUUUUUUUUUUUGAGACAGAGUUUUGCUCUCGCUGCCCAGACUGGAGUGCAAUGAUGCGAUCUUGGCUCACUGCAACCUCCGCCUCCUGGGUUCAAGCGAUUCUCCUGCCUCAGCCUCCCAAGUAGCUGGGAUUACAGGUGCCUGCUCCCACACCCAGCUAAUUUUUGUAUUUUUAGUAUAGACGAGGUUUCACCAUGUUGGCCAGGCUGGUCUUGAACUCCUAACCUCAAGAGAUCCACCUGUCUCGGCCUCCCAAAGUGCUGGGAUUACAGGUGUGAGCCACCACGCCCGGCUGAGCCCCACUUUUCUGGAUCUUGGGCUGGGGGAGAAAAAGGAAGCCGUUUUCUCCACUCCCAGGGCCCAGGGACAGGGAAGUGGCCUGGACCCCUGGGGAGGGAGGGACAGGGAGGUGGCCUGGACCCCUGGGGAGGGAGGGACAGGGAGGUGGCCUGGCCCCUGGGGAGGGAGGGACAGGGAGGUGGCCUGGCCCCUGGGGAGGGCAGCACUUUGGUUGUAGGGUUGGUCCGGAGAGCCAGAGGCGGAAAGGAUCUCCAGGGGGAGCUGGUGGGCCCUUCCCCGCGGGGCUCUGCUCAGCCUGUGGUGGCCACACGGCAGGGGCCCUACUCCCAGACCCUCAACCACUGCCAGCCCAGCCAGCCUGCUUCUGACGAUGUCCGGUUCUCUCGGGUUUCCUUGAUCAGGCUUCUUCAAUGCCUAAAGCUUUGGGACACUUCAUGGUGGCUCUCUGGGGUCCAGGUGGCCGCUGUCCACCCUGGCUCCCUGUGUUGCCCCCUCCUGAGGCCCUGGCUCCUGGAUGCUUCAGCCUACGUGUGCCUCCUCGCUCUAUUUUCGUGGGCACUACCCCUUCGCAGGGCCCACCUCCUGGCUUCCGCCCCUGCCCGCUCUUUGAGCAGGGGUGGAUCUCCCCAGCACCGGCCCACACGGCUGUGCUUGCGGCCAAAUGGUAUGGGCGUGGCAGAGACUCCUGGAGCCUCUUCUCGAGGGGGCCUCAACCUCAGGCUUCCACGUGCAACCCCGCCGAGUCCAAUGGAGCAUCCACGUGCAACCCCUCCGAGUCCAACGGAGCUUCCACGUGCAACCCCUCCGAGUCCAACGGAGCUUCCAUGUUCAACCCCACCAAGUCCAGCGGAGCAUGAACCCCACCCCGAUGUCUGAGCACCAGGAGCUGAUCAGACCUCAGUCCUCGGUGCCCUCAACAGAACAUCCUGGCCCCGCCGCACCCUCCUGGUGAUUUUCCAGCCACGGACCCCGUCGCUCCUCAGCUGUGAACCCUCCUUGUCCUGCUGCACCCAACACAGAGCCCGUCUCUCCCCCGCUGCAGGAGUCCGGAAUGAAGUUUUCCUUGCCAUUGUAAUAAGCACCAGGAUAAUUCUUCUUUAACAGGUUUUCUCUAGACUGGAUCAGGGACAGUCGAGGCUAUAAAUUGUGAAUUAGCUGUGACCCUGCCACCCACGGUUGCC
rnacentral:lncRNA from 1 species